AGCAGCCGCGGUAAUUCCAGCUCCAAUAGCGUAUAUUAAAGUUGUUGCAGUUAAAAAGCUCGUAGUUGAAUUUCGGGGUCUGUCCACCGGUCGGGCUUUUUCGGUCCGCACUGUUGCGAUGGAUUCCUACCUUCUGAAUAACCGAUUUGCCAUUAAUUUGGUGGGUCGGGGAAGCAGGACUGUUACCUUGAAAAAUUAGAGUGCUCAAAGCAGGCUAGUGCCUGAAUACAUUAGCAUGGAAUAAUAAAAUAGGACGGCAUGGUUCUAUUUUGUUGGUUUCUAGGAUCACCGUAAUGAUUAAUAGGGAUAGUUGGGGGCAUUAGUAUUCAAUUGUCAGAGGUGAAAUUCUUGGAUUUAUUGAAGACUAACUACUGCGAAAGCAUUUGCCAAGGAUGUUUUCAUU
rnacentral:rRNA from 1 species